rnacentral:rRNA from 1 species
CGGGUGAGUAACACGUGGAUAACCUACCUAUAAGACUGGGAUAACUUCGGGAAACCGGAGCUAAUACCGGAUAAUAUAUUGAACCGCAUGGUUCAAUAGUGAAAGACGGUUUUGCUGUCACUUAUAGAUGGAUCCGCGCCGCAUUAGCUAGUUGGUAAGGUAACGGCUUACCAAGGCAACGAUGCGUAGCCGACCUGANAGGGUGAUCGGCCACACUGGAACUGAGACACGGUCCAGACUCCUACGGGAGGCAGCAGCG